CGGGCAACGGCCACAACAGUACCGGGGGAGCCUCAGCCGGCGGCAGGGAAGAGACCUGCUGGAGUUUCCUUGAGGCUGCAGGGCCCUUAGAAGCUGGAAACGCCGAGCAAGAAGCAACCGGCGCCGGCCCGGGCAGAGCGGCAGAGGCGGGGCCGCGGUGGGCGGGGCCGAGCCUGGGCGGGAGCCGCUCCGAGCGCGCGUCGGCACCGCCCCUGGCAACGGCCACAACAGUACCGGGGGAGCCUCAGCCGGCGGCAGGGAAGCGACCUGCUGGAGUUUCCCUGAGGCUGCAGGGCCCUUAGAAGCUGGAAACGCCGAGCAAGAAGCAACCGGCGCCGGCCCGGGCAGAGCGGCAGAGGCGGGGCCGCGGUGGGCGGGGCCGAGCCUGGGCGGGAGCCGCCCCGAGCGCGCGUCGGCACCGCCCCUGGCAACGGCCACAACAGUACCGGGGGAGCCUCAGCCGGCGGCAGGGGAAAGACCUGCUGGAGGUAAAGAGGGAGCAAAGUGUCUGCAGGGGCAGGAAAGGGAAACCCUUGUGCUGCACAGGUAGCUUUUGGGCGACUGUCUACAAAGGUGGCCUUGAGGCCACGAAUUCAGAGGGCGCAAAGUGUGCUAGGGCAGGACAGGGAACCCCUGUGGAUGACAAAGCCAGUAACGGCUUCUAGAGCAAACACAGUGCUCGGCGGGGUUGGAAGCGGGUUGAAAACGUAAGCCAUUAAUUCAGGCAGAGCAAGAGGUGAUGUACAGCACAUAGUACAGAUGGUGCCUGGCAGCCUGCACGGAGCCUCACCAGGGGCUGUUUAGUGAGGAUACGUUGGGAGAGCUGGCCGAGGACUGCCCUGCGAGCAGUUUGCCUCCCAGCAGAUACAGCUGCUACAAAACAAAACACUUUCCUGGACAGAUACCCUGAGGCUGCAGGGCACUAGGCAGCAUCAGCCAUGGGAAAGGGUAAGAAGCAACCGGCGCCGGCCCGGGCAGACCGGCAGAGGCGGGGCCGCGGUGGGCGGGGCCGAGCCUGGGCGGGAGCCGCCCCGAGCGCGCGUCGGAGCCGCCCCUGGCAACGGCCACAACAGUACCGGGGGAGCCUCAGCCGGCGGCAGGGAAGAGACCUGCUGGAGGUAAAGAGGGAGCAAAGUGCCUGCAGGGGCAGGGAAGGGAAACCCUUGUGCUGCACAGGUAGCUUUUGGGCCACUGUCUACAAAGGUGGCCUUGUGGCCACCCAUUGUGGGAACAAAAUAGAUACUCUGCUGGCAGGACAGGGAACCCCUGUGCAUGGCAAAGGCAGCAACGGCUUCUAGUGCAAACGCAGUGCUCGGCGGGGUUGGAAGCGGGUUGAAAACGUAAGCCAUUAAUUCAGGCAGAGCAAGAGGUGAUGUACAGCACAUUGUACAGAUGGUGCCUGGCAGCCUGCACGGAGCCUCACCAGGGGCUGUUUAGUGAGGAUACGUUGGGAGAGGUGGCCGAGGACUGCCCUGCAAGCAGUUUGCCUCCCAGCAGAUACAGCUGCUACAAAACAAAACACUUUCCGUGACAGAUUCCCUGAGGCUGCAGAGACCUAAGCAGCUGCAGCCAUGGGAAAGGCUGAGCAGGAAGCAACCGGCGCCGGCCCGGGCAGAGCGGCAGAGGCGGGGCCGUGCCCCAGCGGUGCCGCGGUGGGAGGGACCGCGGAGGGCGGGACCCAGCCGGAACCGCCCCGAGCCCGCCUCAGAGCCGCACCUGGAAACGGCCCCGGCAGAGCGGCAGAGGCGGGGCCGAGCCUGGGGGGGGGCGAGCCUGGGCGGGGCUGAGGCUGGGCGGGAGCCGCCCCGAGCCCGAAACCGAGCCGCAGCUGCAACGGACACAACAGCGCCGCGGGACCGUGAGCCGGCGUCACGGGAGCGACCUGCUGCAGGUAAAGAGGGAGCAAAGUGUCCGCAGGGGCAGGACAGGGCACCCUUGUGCUCCACAGGUGGCCUUUGGGCCACUGUCUGCAAAGGUGGCCUUGUGGCCACUCAUCCAGAGGGAGCAAAGUGUCUGCAGAGGCAGGACAGGGCACCCUUGUGCUCCACAGGUGGCCUUUGGGCCACUGUCUCCAAAGGUGGCCUUGUGGCCACUCAUCCAGAGGGAGCAAAGUGUCUGCUGGGUCAGGACAGGGCACCCUUGUGCUCCACAGGUGGCCUUUGGGCCACUGUCUCCAAAGGUGGCCUUGUGGCCACUCAUCCAGAGGGAGCAAUCUCUGCUGGGGCAGGACAGGGCACCCUUGUGCUCCACAGGUGGCCUUUGGGCCACUGUCUGCAAAGGUGGCCUUGUGGCCACUCAUCCAGAGGGAGCAAAGUGUCUGCAGA